rnacentral:ribozyme from 1 species
CCUCUGUAAAGUUCUGUAAAAGGAUUGGAUCCGACGCCCCUAGAAGGCUACUAUAGGCUCUCCUUCUCAACUCCUACUCAAUACGUCCACGACGUGCAGAACGGUAACUUAUCGCCUUGAUAUCCAAGCUUGGGUACACGGGGAAACGCACCCCCUUAGGCGGAUGGGCGGCAAGGCUGAAUUGAGAGGU